rnacentral:misc_RNA from 1 species
GGUUGGGGGGGUGGAUGGGGGUUGGGCAGGGUGGUGGUGUGUGGUGUGUGUUGGGUUGCGGGUGGGGGGUGUAGGGGAUUUAGGAGAUGGGUCUUCUUUUUUUCGAGGGAAUGAGAUGGGUCAAUUAGUAAUACAAUAAUUGUAUUAGAAAUCUUGAUUAAUUGUAUUGAUCAGUCCUGCUAAAGGGAUUUCCAUGUAUGUUUUAUAUAUUGUUAUAUAAAAGAAAUUUGAAUUUGAGACUUUAUAAUUUUAGAGAU